rnacentral:rRNA from 1 species
CCUACGGGUGGCAGCAGUAGGGAAUAUUGCUCAAUGGGGGAAACCCUGAAGCAGCAACGCCGCGUGGAGGAUGAAGGUUUUCGGAUUGUAAACUCCUUUUGUUAGAGAAGAUAAUGACGGUAUCUAACGAAUAAGCACCGGCUAACUCCGUGCCAGCAGCCGCGGUAAUACGGAGGGUGCAAGCGUUACUCGGAAUCACUGGGCGUAAAGAGCGCGUAGGCGGGAUAGCAAGUCAGAUGUGAAUUCCUAUGGCUUAACCAUAGAACUGCAUUUGAAACUGUUAUUCUAGAGUAUGGAAGAGGUGGGUGGAAUUCUUGGUGUAGGGGUAAAAUGCGUAGAGAUCAAGAGGAAUACUGAUUGCGAAGGCGACCUGCUAGAACAUAACUGACGCUGAUGCGCGAAAGCGUGGGGAGCAAACAGGAUUAGAUACCCGUGUAGUC